UUAACGACGCACUGGAGGCUGAAGAUGCAGCCAGAGAAACUGCCCGAGCGUUGUCUCAUCCACCUCCUGAUGCUGUGCCUGGUUCCCAGCAACAUUGUGGUUGUGAGGUGGAAAAGGAACCGUCAUCCUCCAGCUGUUAAUAUUAGUGAUGGAAAUAUUGUUAGGUUGUUCUAAAAGGAGUCGGCACCUCAAGUUCAUAGCCUGCAAGUUCUGCGGCCAGGCGGUGUCUCAUCCACCUCCUGAUGCUGUGCCUGGUUCUCAGCAACAUUGUGGUUGUGAGGUGGAAAAGGAACCGUCAUCCUCCAGCUGUUAAUAUUAGUGAUGGAAAUAUUGUUAGGUUGUUCUAAAAGGAGUCGGCACCUCAAGUUCAUAGCCUGCAAGUUCUGCGGCCAGGCGGUGUCUCAUCCACCUCCUGAUGCUGUGCCUGGUUCUCAACAUUGUGGUUGUGAGGUGGAAAAGGAACCGUCAUCCUCCAGCUGUUAAUAUUAGUGAUGGAAAUAUUGUUAGGUUGUUCUAAAAGGAGUCGGCACCUCAAGUUCAUAGCCUGCAAGUUCUGCGGCCAGGCGGUGUCUCAUCCACCUCCUGAUGCUGUGCCUGGUUGUCAACAUUGUGGUUGUGAGGUGGAAAAGGAACCGUCAUCCUCCAGCUGUUAAUAUUAGUGAUGGAAAUAUUGUUAGGUUGUUCUAAAAGGAGUCGGCACCUCAAGUUCAUAGCCUGCAAGUUCUGCGGCCAGGCGGUGUCUCAUCCACUUCCUGAUGCUGUGCCUGGUUCUCAGCAACAUUGUGGUUGUGAGGUGGAAAAGGAACCGUCAUCAUUAACAUUAACACAGCACCUGCUAAUGAUAAUGCAGAUGCCUUCACACACACAC